GACAGAGGAGCCAAGCGUUGUCCGGAUUGACUGGGCGUAAAGCGCACGCAGGCGGCUGUGUACGUGGGGUGUGAAAGCUGGCGGCUUAACUGCCAGACGCCACCUCAUACGGCACGGCUCGAGUCCGUGAGAGGUCCACGGAAUUGCCGGUGUAGUGGUGAAAUGCGUAGAGAUCGGCAGGAACACCCAGGGGGAAGCCAGUGGACUGGCGCGGUGCUGACGCUCAGGUGCGAAAGCGUGGGGAGCGAACCGG
rnacentral:rRNA from 1 species